GCACAGCGGCAUUUAAAUUGACCAAUCAGAGCCGAGAAUAUCUAAUAAGUCGAAGUAGAGAUGAACAGAUGAAGAUACAGCCCGUAAAAAUACUUAUUCUUGGUGAGUGCCAUGUAGCGACGGAUCAAACGGACACUCAUGUCAAGCUUGAUGAGGACACAGUCAAAGCUUUAAAAGACCUUGUGAUUAAGUCUUCAGUGUCUGAAUGGCAAGAAGAAGUGACCCUCCACUUAAACGUGACAUUUAAACUGCUCUGUGUUUUGGUUCAGCCAUUUGUAGGUUUAUCUCGAGUAAGUUCAAAUGCACUUCUGCAUUUGUCCAGUAACUUUUUGUUUAGAGAAUUACAUCAUUAUGAUUAUAUAAUUAUUCAAUGGUUGCAUAUUCAUAGUGUACUUUUCAUAUUGAUGUAUUAAUGUUCCACAAUUUGAUAAAAGUAGCUCAUUGCAUUUCACUGAUCUUUGUUUUAUAUUGUAAAAUCAUUUCAAUAGCAGUGAAUACAUACUUAGUUGUUUCUUUAACAUUUAAUUAGUUGUUAAUGAUGGAAGAAACCGGUUCGUAUGUAUGAAUACAGAAUAGGUAUCAUUUUAGAAUGAGUUAAAACAUGUUUUGGUGGCAAACAUGCAGGUAAAAUAGUACAUAACAUUCUAAUAGUAAACUUGACUGUAAUUCAAAUGUCACAUACAGUACAUUAGAAAUGAUUUAUUUUAUGUAUACAAAUGUGUGGGCAAUAUAUUAUUAUUUCAUUUUGUAUGCUAUAUUAUUUAUGUAAUAUUAUUAUAUCUGAAAUUAUUAAAUUACAUUUAUAAAUGUUUAAAAGGUGGGUUCAAAUGUGCUUCAAGUUGUAACUGAAUACAAUUUUAGAAAAUAGCACAGUUGAGUACACUUAGAUUGUCUUAAGUUUGUCUUAACAAGUACUAAAUACUACUUUUUAGUAUAUUAAGCACAAUUUACUGCACGAAAAUAAAGAGCUUUUGGUACCUUAAGGUUGUGAACUUAAAGUGUAUUUUAGUGAACUUUUUCACUUGGGAAUACAUUUGGUAUAUUAUUUUAACAUACUACUAGUAUAUUUUAAAGUAGAUUCGUAAAUGUUUAAAGGUGGGUUCAAGUUGUAAUUAAAGAUAUUUUUUAAAUACAGACCUAGUAUGUUAAAAUUACAUUUUAGUUCAACUUCAUGGUGUCUCAAAAAAGCACAGUUGAGUACACUAAGAUGGUUUUAAGUUCAUCUUAAAAAGUACUUAAUACUACUUUUUAGUAUACUAAGUUCAAAAUUAGUGUGUGAAAAUAGAGCACUUUUAGUAUAAUGUGGAAAGUGUACUUAAAUAGUGUAUUUUAGUGAACUUGUUUCACCUGGGAAUACAUUUGGAAU